rnacentral:sRNA from 21 species
GUCAACAACCCACCACCAACCCUUUGGGCACAGUGGGGGCAAACGACUGCCCUAGUUGACCCGACUAAGUACCGUGCGUACUACGUUUAAGGCAAGAGUUCAAGACCUACCCUGGAAUGCGUAGCCAGUUCCAGGCACUAGA